rnacentral:lncRNA from 1 species
UUGGGAGGGGUUCUUCUAAGAGGUAUGAGAAGAAGAGCAGGAAACGCCAUCACAGGAAGGACUGAAGCAAAAGAUGUAUCAGGUUCUGCCAUUUGAUGUCUCCAUUACAACUCUCUUAUCAAUCUAUGUACAAUAAUGAAUGAAACCUGCCUAUGGGAUUUGAUUUGUGUUUGGCUCUUGUGGUCUCUUUGUUUCAAGCACGUAUGGUUGAGAUACUGUUGUUAAUUCUGUGAUGAUUUGUUUCUAAAGUUGCGAUCUUUUAAGUUAUUAUUGCCAAUUAGUUUUACAAGAGUGAACAAGUCGGCCAUAAAGCUGAGAAGUCGGCAACAGUCGUUGUAGAGAGAGAUCACAAGACUCGUGAAUUGGUUUUGGCAUGGUAUCUGAGGGUAGUGUCGUCAUUUAAAGAGCUCGAGUUUCAUUGCUCAGCUCAUAUCUCCUUGUGGGUCAUGUUAAUCUAUUCUCCACCGUUGAAGCAAAAGUUAAAAAAGAAAUAAGAAAAUAUCAAUCUUGAAACUUUAUAAAUCCCAAGAAAAUAGGUGAAGUUGGUUCAGAACAAAAGAUCCAAAGAGAAAAAUAUCUCAAAAACACACAAAGGAAGAAGAAGAAGAAGAAGAAGAAGAUGCCUUCAAGCACAUUCUCUGGAACUGUGAGCUCACCGAAGCUGUCAGUGGCAGUGGACACGGGCAACCCUUUUCUCAACCUCACCGUUGAUGGUUUCCUCAAGAUCGGAGCUGUAAAUAUAAUCUAUCUAUCUCUCUUUCUAUCUCUCAUCUCAUUGUUUUAUAUUUGAUUUUCUGAAUGGGUUUUAUAGGUUGGAGUCACAAAAUCUCUUGUGGAAGACACUUACAAAGCCAUCGACAAAGGUAAAGUCCUAAAACCAAAAUAUGAAAGCUCGACUCGUUGGUAGAUCUGUUUUUUUUUUGCCUCUUAUGGUUUGUGUUGUUGAUCAUGUGGUUAGGGAGUGUUUCCAAGAGCACUCUUGAGCAUGCGGUGAGUACUAUUUUAUCAAACCCAUGUGUAUGAUAUGUGUGUGUGUCUGAAAAAACAAACGUCUCAUCUAUUGUGUUACACAUUAUGGUUGCAGCUUAAGAAGAUGUGCAAAGAAGGUGUUUACUGGGGUACGUUGCUUUCUAAAGCCAUUGUUUUAGUUUUACCAAUGGAUAAUAAAUGAUUUUAAAAUAAUAAUAAAAGCUCAAAUUUGCAACAAAUAUAUGAAUGAAUAUGAUCAGGAUCUGUGGCUGGAGUUUAUGUUGGAACAGAGUAUGGAAUCGAACGUAUCCGUGGCACUAGAGAUUGGGUACUACGUUCAUUAGUCAUUACAUCCACACACAUUGAGCUAUUCUUUUUUGCAAAACUUAUGAAUGAUUGUUUUGAAACUUUUGCUAUCAGAAAAACGCAAUGUUGGCAGGCGCGGCGACAGGAGCAGUGAUCUCUGCGGCUACCAACAAAGGGAAAGACAAGGUCGUGAUCGAUGCCAUUAUGGGUGGCGCUCUUGCAACUGCGUCCCAGUUCCUUAACAAUCAUUAUUUCUACUGAGUUUCAAUCUUCCUAUUAGGACCAAGUUUGGAUUGUUAUAUCCAAAUUUGGUCCUUAUGGUGUGGGUUUCUUUGUUUGUUUCCAAUAAAAAGAUGUAUUACUUUUGAAUGAAUUGAAUUCGAGUAACAUGAACGUUUAGCAAUGGUCUGUGGUCUUCUAAAAACUCUUUGGCCAACUCCAGAGGAGUCUUGUUCAUUACUUUAUUCUCCAUGUUUGGCGGUGUGAAGUUACAUAACGUAGAAUAAGGAGUUGUUCGAUGUGUACAGUUAGCUAUAGUCAAAGAAAACCAAAUGAAUGAAUGAAAGGUUAGGAAUAGAUAUUGAGAGCUUCUUCAACGGUGUUAAGAAAAGAUAUAUAUAUAACUGUUAUGAACCAGAUUGUGGAUGACUCAUAACCAAGAGAUUAUGAUUCUUAAUCUUUCCAUUUAUCUAUGACGGUGUAAUCUCAAGCAAACUCUAUGUUAUGAAUAAAGAUAGAUUUUUCUAUUACUUUUAUAACACGUUAUCAGCACGAAACUCUAAAUCCCUAAGCUAAUAUCCAAAUCGAAAAAUCCUAAAAUCCUAACCCUAGCCGGCGAUCCGACGAACCCUAAACCCCGAUCGCGUCUCUUGUUCCCACAUCUGUUCCAGCUCGCGUCCCCGAUCAGCUUCAGCCCAAGGCGUUCCUGAUCCUAACUCAGACGUUCGCGACCCGAGAGCAGCUCCAUCACGCGACCUCUUCCUCGUUCGCGACAGCAUCAUACAGCUCGCGUCUGACGAUCAAGGCGUUCCCGAUCAAGCAACAAAGGACGUCCGUGACCCGAUAGAAGCGACUCAAUCCAUUCCAGCUCGCGUCCCGUUCGUGUCCAGCUCGCGGCUCAACUCCUUUGGUGGUCCGAUUCGCCUGCCUCGUCUUCUCCGUCUCCUCCUGUGUUCUCCGCGGGACGACGAUGGCUUUUCGUUCUCUCCUUCACACCUACAAGGUUCAAACGAAAGCUAAAACCCCAUCUCACUUCGUUAAGCCUCCUCUCUACUCGAUAAAUCUCUCUCUGUCUCCUUCUCCGUGGAUCUCUCAUUCGAUCGGAUGAUCUCUCUCCUCCAUUGAGUUUCGGAACUUCUCUGUGGAGAUCGAUGGCCACAUCCACUCGAAAGUGAGUUUGAUUGUAUUUUUGAAUUGGUUGCAGCUUGAUUUAAUAAUGGUGUUCUUUCUUGCAGUAAACCACAUGUAAAUGUGGGAACAAUUGGGCAUGUAGAACAUGGGAAGACUACUUUAACUGCUGCAAUCACAAAGGUGAUUCCUUUUUUUUACAUUGAUGAGAGUUUUUUAAUUGGGAGAACCUCUUUUGUUUUUUUUUUAAGUUGAGAUAUGGAUUCUACUUAUUGUUUAGGUUCUUGCUGAAGAGGGAAAAGCUAAAGCUAUUGCCUUUGAUGAAAUUGAUAAAGCUCUCCAAGCCAAUGUUUUUGCUCUAGUCUGAUUCGGAUGGUCAAUCUAUGUUAAGAUUUGAUCUCGGCAUGAUCUUAAUCGCAACCGAUGAGUUCUCAGCGGGAAAUAAACUUGGACAAGGUGGAUUUGGAUCUGUCUACAAGGUAUGAACUUUUCAUUGUAAAAUAUGUUUUCAAAACAUCUAUAUUUUUCGAUGAUGUCAUACCGGUUUCAGGGGAUUUUACCGAGCAGACAAGAGAUAGCGGUAAAGAGAUUAGCUGGAGGGUCAGGACAAGGAGACUUAGAGUUCAAGAAUGAGGUUUUACUCUUAACGAGACUCCAACAUAGGAAUCUGGUUAAGCUUCUUGGCUUCUGUAAUGAAGGAGAUGGAGAGAUUCUUGUUUAUGAGCAUGUCCCUAAUUCAAGUCUUGAUCAAUUUAUAUUCGGUAAGCCUUGGCACGACCAAUUGUAAUGUAUUUUCAUUACAAGACUUUUAUCAGACUAGAGAAAAAUAAAUCCUUUUUUUUUUCUUUGUGAAUCUGUAGAUGAACACAAACGUUGGCUACUUACUUGGGAUGUGAGGUGUAGAAUCAUAGAAGGAGUUGCAAGAGGGCUUCUUUAUCUCCAUGUCUGGAUUAAAGCUUGAAGAGUUUAAGACACUUGCAAAGCUUGCUUUAUCUGACUCUGUUACUACAACAUCAAGGGCCUCAAACCUGAAUCCAUCUGGUAUUUCUCUGAACAAAGACUUAAUAUAAAAUGUGGCCAAAUGAAAAUUUUUUGCAUUAGAAAUUGCUAUCAUUUGCCGGAUACAUAAUAUAAAAAAAGGAAAAGUUUUUAUGUAAGGGGAUGUUUUGGCGGUCAUAUACUAUCUUUUUGUGCUUACUAUUGAACUUGGAGAACAAGAAAGUUGUGUUUCCUUCUAAGACUUUUUCUUGUGCUCAAAGAUGAGAUUCACGAGAACGUAUUUCAUAGUAUUAUGAUACAAUAUGCAUAAAUAUUUGAGUAAGUAAUAUUUCAAUUAUGCAUAAAUUUUUUUAAGAACCAUUGAUUAAGAAACUCCCAAUGGAACACAAAAUCUAUGGGUUUCUCAACUAAAUUUCUUAACUAAUUUUUAUUAUUAAAUAAAUCAUUAAGAAAUCCAAAUGGGGAUAUAGGGAUAAUGGCUCUUACAAGUUAAAAAAAAAAAGUUAGACCGAACUCAUAGAUCCAUCAUUUGCUGAGAAGAUAGUUAACACUGACCUGACAUGGUCAGAGCAAAACGUAAAAAUGAUCGGAGCAUUAAAUACAAUCUUAAAUACGCUUGAUAGUAUAUCACAUCACCGUUGGGAUCCACUUCCAAGACCUUCUCAUAUCAAACUUAUAGUCUCAAUACUUUUAUAUUCAUUUGUUAACUAAUACCUUUUAACUCUCCACAGUUUUAGCUGCUUGUAUUAUUAAUAAAACAUACAUUUUUCAUAUUUAAGUGUUAGUUAGCAUAUUUUUCUUGAGUUACUUCUUAUACAAGUUAUCGAAAUUUUGUAUCCUAUUUCUGAGUUGUAUUUUAAGAUUCAUCAUUUGGCGCUAGAAAAAGGGGAUAUUCAACAAAAAACCUCUAAAAUACCGGUGUGAAACACACAUCGCGAUGACUGGACAAGACAUAUCUAGUGUAUGUUCAUUUAAUUUGUUUAAUUGCUAAUUAAUUUUAAAUUUGAAAAGUUUUUAUUUUUUUUGUAUGUUUAUUCCUAUGAAUUUUGAGAAGAUAAAAGCUUAGGCUCAAUUGAACCGAUUAAAAAAGGUAACUGAAAUAUCUAGAAGCAGAUGGUGGUGAUGAUUCUUACCGGUUUCAUUCUUCACUUGAUGAUGAUAGAGUUUUUGUUGUAAAUUAUGUUUAGUCCAAAAAAUAGCAUGAAAUUUCCAAUUAAUCGCUUGUUUGCAACGAUGAUUCUUUGACUUUUUUUUUAUUAUCUCAAUUGAAUAAUAUAAAAUUGACUAGACUCGUUGACUCCUACUAAAUCAAUAAAAAUAGACUAGCAAUCACUAUUAAUUCAGUUUGAAGUGUGAUAUUUUUAGAUCAGUAUAAAAUUAUCUCCUUUUAGCUUCAAUUAUUACAACAAACAAAAAUUAAGUUUUUUAUAUGAAAAAUAUUUAGUAAUCUAUAUAAAAAACAGAUGUGUUGUUUACUUUGGAUCUUUACUCAUGUAAUUUUUUCUAGUUUUAUUUUUCUAAUUUUUAUUGUUUAGAAUCUUUAAUUACAAAGAUUAAUAAUUCAGUCUAGCGUUAAAAAGAAAUCUGGAGGGAGUAUAUCCUCUGUUCGAAAACGCGUCCGAGUUGACGAGUUCUCGGCCGGAUAAGCGUUAGGCGUGUGCUCACCGUGGCGAGGAGGAGCAAAUCAGAGUGGCCAGGCGGUGGACUGAUUUUUUUUUCGAUUUAACCGUGGAAUCAGUGAAAUCGGUGCCUACGGUUACAAAAACGUGUUGCUAAACCGAGAAACUUUGAACAAAAUCGACAAAAAGAUGAAAAAUCGUGUUCGAAGCAUAUAGAUGGCGGUUAGGGUUGCAGAAAACUUUAGCAAAUAGACAAGGGUAGACAUGUAAUUUUCUCAUUUAAUGAAUUAAAGCCGAAAAAUGCAAAAAAAAAUUAAAGAUGGGCUUCGAAACCGGGUCAUGAUGUCAUUUAUCCGAGUUUCUAACCACCAGGACAAGUCAACAUAUUGGGUAUGGUUGCCAAAUCAAAUAUAUAUUAGUAAAAUAUCUUAGAAGUAAUCUUCGAUUACUCCUCGAUUAUUUAGUAACUCGCUAGGUCCGGAGUAGCCGUCCGACUAGUGCCUAACGUAGUUCCGAACGGGGAGUAUAUCUAAUGGAUAAAUGAUUUUGAUAUUUUUUUAAUUGUUUUUAGUGUCUUGUUAGCUAUUAGAUAUCAGGCCCAUAAAGGAAUAAAAUCAGAACAAAGCGCCAUUGUAGCUGAGCCCAUCAGAAGUCGAAACAGAUGAAUUUAAAAUUUAACCAAUGUCAUACAUGGAUAAAUUUUGAAAAGAUACAAAGAUUAGGGGUGUAGAUGCAAACUAGUAAAAGCUGAAGUCGGUUCCCACUCUCUCCCGAUCUUUUAUUAAUCAUCUUCUCCCUUUUCGCUUCUCUUAUUCUCUCUAAGAGAGGAAAGAACCAAAGCUCCGUCUCUCUCUCUCUCUCUCUCCGGCGAUUACUUCCGAUCUAAUCCGGUAAGCAAUAUCCUCUUCUCUUUAUGUUCUUCGUAGAAUCUUAAUUCAUUUGAAACCCUAGGAUCUACAGAUAGUAUUUCGAAACCCUAGAUUUCGUGUAAUCGAAUCUCUAAUUCGAAAAUUGAUUGGUUAAUUAGGUUGUGAGAUUUCUUAGGGAUUCGUGAAAGAUGCCGGCCACCGCGGGAAGAGUUCGCAUGCCUGCGAACAACCGUGUCCACAGCAGCGCGGCGCUUCAGACUCACGGCAUAUGGCAGAGCGCGAUCGGUUACGAUCCCUACGCGCCAACGGCCAAAGAAGAGCCGAAGACGACUCAGCAGAAGACCGAUGACCCUGAGAACUCUUACGCGAGCUUCCAGGGUCUUUUGGCUCUCGCGCGCAUCACUGGAUCCAACAACGACGAGGCUCGCGGGUCUUGUAAGAAGUGUGGGCGUGUUGGGCACUUGACGUAUCAGUGUAGGAACUUUUUGAGUACGAAGGAGGAUAAGGAGAAGGAUGGUGGUGAGAUUGAAGCUGCUGUUAUGGCGGGGUUGGAGAAGGUUAGGAGGUGUGCUGGGAGAGGUGAGGUUGAGGAGGUGGAGAGUAGUGAGGAGGAGGAGGAGAGUGAGAGUGAGGAUUCUGAUGUUGAUUCUGAGAUUGAGAAGAUUAUUGCUGAGAGGUAUGGGAAGAAGAAGGGUAGUGGCAGUAGUAGUAGUGUUAAGAAGAAGAAGAAGCGUGAUGAGUCUGAGUCUGAUUCUGAUCCUGGAGAUAGGAAGAGGAGGAGGAGGUCGAAGAAGCGGAGGACGCAUAAGAGGAGGAGCGUGAGUGAGUCUGAGGAGGAGGAAGAAGGAAGGAGUAAGAGAAGGAAGGAGAGGAGGGGAAGAAAGAGAGAUGAUGAUUCUGAUGAGUCUUCUGAUGAAGAGAGAAGUGUUAAGAGAAAGAGUAGGAAGGAGAAGAGGAGAAGGAGGAGCAGGCGUAACCGUUCUGAUGAUUCGGAGUCAUCUGACGAUGAUGCAAGUGGUAGAAGGCAGAAGCGCAGGAACAAAGUGGCAGCUUCUUCUGACUCUGAUGUCUCGGGUGAUAAUGAUUCACGUGUUGGGAGGGGUUCUUCUAAGAGGUAUGAGAAGAAGAGCAGGAAACGCCAUCACAGGAAGGACUGAAGCAAAAGAUGUAUCAGGUUCUGCCAUUUGAUGUCUCCAUUACAACUCUCUUAUCAAUCUAUGUACAAUAAUGAAUGAAACCUGCCUAUGGGAUUUGAUUUGUGUUUGGCUCUUGUGGUCUCUUUGUUUCAAGCACGUAUGGUUGAGAUACUGUUGUUAAUUCUGUGAUGAUUUGUUUCUAAAGUUGCGAUCUUUUAAGUUAUUAUUGCCAAUUAGUUUUACAAGAGUGAACAAGUCGGCCAUAAAGCUGAGAAGUCGGCAACAGUCGUUGUAGAGAGAGAUCACAAGACUCGUGAAUUGGUUUUGGCAUGGUAUCUGAGGGUAGUGUCGUCAUUUAAAGAGCUCGAGUUUCAUUGCUCAGCUCAUAUCUCCUUGUGGGUCAUGUUAAUCUAUUCUCCACCGUUGAAGCAAAAGUUAAAAAAGAAAUAAGAAAAUAUCAAUCUUGAAACUUUAUAAAUCCCAAG